GUGCCAGCAGCCGCGGUCAUACGGAGGAUCCAAGCGUUAUCCGGAAUUACUGGGCGUAAAGAGUUGCGUAGGUGGCAUAGUAAGUAGGUAGUGAAAGCGUGUGGCUCAACCAUACUCACAUUAUCUAAACUGCUAAGCUAGAAUGUAGAAGAGGUAGCUGGAAUUCCUAGUGUAGGAGUGAAAUCCGUAGAUAUUAGGAGGAACACCAAUGGCGUAGGCAGGCUACUGGUCUAUCAUUGACACUAAGGCACGAAAGCGUGGGGAGCGAACGGGAUUAGAUACCCCGGUAGUCCACGCCGUAAACGAUGGAUGCUAGCUGUUAGAGGUAUCGACCCCUCUAGUAGCGAAGCUAACGCGUUAAGCAUCCCGCCUGUGGAGUACGAGCGCAAGCUUAAA
rnacentral:rRNA from 1 species